GACAGAGGGGGCAAGCGUUGCUCGGAAUCACUGGGCGUAAAGGGUGCGUAGGCGGGUUUUUAAGUCAGAGGUGAAAUCCUGGAGCUCAACUCCAGAACUGCCUUUGAUACUGAAAGUCUUGAGUAUGGGAGAGGUGAGUGGAACUGCGAGUGUAGAGGUGAAAUUCGUAGAUAUUCGCAAGAACACCAGUGGCGAAGGCGGCUCACUGGCCCGGUACUGACGCUGAGGUGCGAAAGCGUGGGGAGCAAACAGG
rnacentral:rRNA from 1 species